GUGCACCUUUGAAUGAUUCUUUUAGGGGAUGUUCUGCCUUACCUGUCAAAGGAAACAAGCAUUAUUCCAUUCACUGAGUUCUGUGUGUGUGUGUGUGUGUGUGGAGCGCUUCAGCACCUCCCCGAGGGCACAAAGCUCUUGAGCACCGAAGCCAGGACUCCAUCAGCCAGUCUGGUUUCACUGAUGCCACUCCACCUGACUUUACAGAGAAGGACACUGAGGCUCAGAGUUGAGCUACCUGCCCAAGGUCACCAGCUAAGUGGCAGUCAGGAGUAGAACUGACAUCAGACUCUGGAGCCUGAAAUUUGUGCCAUCCUGCAGGGCAGGAGGGGACAAUGCCAGUGGGUACCCAACAGGCCAGCACUGUCUGGGAGAGGACAUGCCCUGGCACACCAGCUGACCAGCUGGGCAGGCUCCGUAGGGCCCCCCAUGCCCCAUGCCUUUAAACCCCAAGGGGCGGGGCCAAGCCAGAGCCAGGGGCUGUUGACAGACUGGCAGCCUGAUGGAGAAGAUACAGCCAACAGCUGCUGUUUAUUUUGGGACCUCGGGAAGAGGGAAAGCACUGGUUAGGACCCACCUCAUUCUAACAAUAAACUGAACAGAGCAGAAUGGGGAGGGUGCCCCCCUCCCCCCAGCUAAAGCAAUGGCCCUGGCCACCUGCUGGGCUCUGCUGAGAGCUGAAAGGCCUAGGUGUCAGAAACAUCCUGCCAGACACGCUAAUCUGGCCUCUACCAACAGACACAGAGCUCCCCACCCUGCCCUGCCCCCUCGCCAGCCCCGAGUGCUGGACUUGUAAAUGGCCCAGGAAGACAAUCUCGCACACAGCAAACCCACCUCCUACAGUGUCAGGUUCCAGGAACAAAUGGUUUUUCCUGUCUCUCGGGAACAAAGAGGGGCUGCUCCUGCCCACCACCAGUGGCUUGAUUCCCUGCCUCUGACACUUAUUAACUCCACUCUUGCCAGCGUGAAGGACACCUAGUGACAAGGGUCCGGCGGGGAAGGUAGGAUGGCCUACCUGGGCUGUGGCAAGGCGGGCCGGCAGGAUUCCCCGGAAGGCCAGGACUGAAGAGGUUUCCCAAAGGACUGUGGAGCCCCGCUGCCUGGCUCUGGACCCCAGCCCUGCCUUCUCCUUAGCUGAUGACCGUUAGUAAAUGAACCUGUGUCUCCAUUUUCUCAUCAAUAAAAGUAAGGACCAUAAGAGUGCUUUUCUCAGGUUGUUCUACGGAUUCAAUGUACAAAGUGCUUAGAAGAUUGGGGGCGCAUAAUUAGUGCUAAUAUCGUCAUCAGUUAGCCUGGAAGUUUCCUUCCCACUAGGAACACUGGAAGAAAGCUUUCCUGGAUAUUACACAUAGAGCUUAAGUUCCCAGGCUAGCCUGUAACAUAGGUGAACUAAAGACAUCUAGUUUGGCGCUAUAAUUCCAGCUACUGGAUGAGAAAGGUUUUGGUGGACUGGCCUGAGAAUCUUUCCACCAUUUACAGUAUUAUAUCAAUAGGAAUAUAUACAUUUCAAAUAAGCAAUUUCCACAAUUAAGUUAAAAGCUGUGGUUCUUUUGAAAAAUAAGAGUGGGGGAGUUCCCGUUGUGGCGCAGUGGUUAACGAAUCCGACUAGGAACCAUGAGGUUGCCGGUUCGGUCCCUGCCCUUGCUCAGUGGGUUAACGAUCCGGCGUUGCCGUGAGCUGUGGUGUAGGUUGCAGACGCGGCUCGGAUCCCGAGUUGCUGUGGCUCUGGUGUAGGCCGGUGGCUACAGCUCCGAUUCAACCCCUAGGCUGGGAACCUCCAUAUGCCGCGGGAGCGGCCCAAGAAAUAGCAA
rnacentral:lncRNA from 1 species